rnacentral:misc_RNA from 1 species
AAAUAAAAAUCGAUGUUGUUGUCAAUGAUAACGCGUCGGAACUGAGUCGUCUUACCUUCGGUUAAGUGACUUAAAAUUUUUACGCGAAUUCGAAACGUAUCUAACGUUUAUGUACGUUUGCGAUAUUCCAAUAUAUUAGAUGCGGUCAUUCCCAUGGUUCGCGCCUAUAAUUUUUCAUU